rnacentral:rRNA from 1 species
UACAGAGGAUGCAAGCGUUAUCCGGAAUGAUUGGGCGUAAAGCGUCUGUAGGUGGCUUUUUAAGUCCGCCGUCAAAUCCCAGGGCUCAACUCUGGACAGGCGGUGGAAACUACCAAGCUGGAGUACGGUAGGGGCAGAGGGAAUUUCCGGUGGAGCGGUGAAAUGCGUAGAGAUCGGCAGGAACACCCAGGGGGAAACCAGCCGACUGGGCAAGUGCUGACGCUGAGGUGCGAGAGCGUGGGGAGCGAACCGG